UGGGGAAUAUUGCACAAUGGACGGAAGUCUGAUGCAGCAACGCCGCGUGCGGGAUGACGGCCUUCGGGUUGUAAACCGCUUUUUCUCACGACGAAGUUUUUUGACGGUAGUGGGGGAAGAAGCACCGGCUAACUACGUGCCAGCAGCCGCGGUGAUACGUAGGGUGCGAGCGUUGUCCGGAAUUAUUGGGCGUAAAGAGCUUGUAGGCGGUUUGUCGCGUCGAUAGUGCAAACUCAGUGCUUAACGCUGAGCCUGCUGUUGAUACGGGCAGACUAGAGGAAGGUAGGGGAGAAUGGAAUUCCCGGUGGAGCGGUGGAAUGCGCAGAUAUCGGGAGGAACACCGGUGGCGAAGGCGGUUCUCUGGGCCUUUCCUGACGCUGAGAAGCGAAAGCGUGGGGAGCGAACAGG
rnacentral:rRNA from 1 species